rnacentral:RNase_P_RNA from 1 species
GGAGUAGGUGAGGUGGUUGCUUCUUCUUCCCUAUCCGGGAAAGAAGGGGAGGAAAGUCCGGACUCCAAAGGGCAGGAUGGUCGCUAACAGCGACUUCGAGCGAUCGAAGGAAAGUGUCACAGAAAACACACCGCCUUAAGAGGUUUUUUGCUUAUUGAGGUAAGGGUGAAAUGGUGAGGUAAGAGCUCACCGCUUCGGUGGCGACACCGGAGGCAGGGCAAACCCCAUCCGGAGAAAGACCAAAUUGGCCUCAUGCGGUGGCCCGCUGCUAAGGGGCGGGUAGGUCGCUUAACUUCUUGAGCAAUCAAGAAGUCAGAUAAAUAACCACCCCAGGAAUGGAACAGAAUCCGGCUUACAACCUACUCCAGUU